UGAAUACGAGACGCUAAGGCGUCGAAGUAGUGUAUGUCAUACUUCCAAGAAAAGCUUGCACUGUCAUAGAUAAAAAACGCCUGUACCAUAACCGACACAGGUGGGUAGGUAGAGUAUACUAAGGGGCGCGAGAUAACUCUCUCUAAGGAACUCGGCAAAAUAACUCCGUAACUUCGGGAGAAGGAGUGCCUUAUUCGUAAGGUUGCAAUAACAAGAUCCAAGCAACUGUUUAUCAAAAACACAGGUCUCCGCUAAGUCGUAAGACGAUGUAUGGGGGCUGACGCCUGCCCAGUGCCAGAAGGUUAAAGAAGUUGGUUAGCAAUUGCGAAGCUGAUAACUGAAGCCCUGGUGAACGGCGGCCGUAACGAUAACGGUCCUAAGGUAGCGAAAUUCCUUGUCGGGUAAGUUCCGACCCGCACGAAAGGCGUAAUGAUUUGGAUACUGUCUCGGAGAGGGGCUCGGUGAAAUAGACUUGUCUGUGAAGAUGCGGACUACCUGCACCAGGACAGAAAGACCCUAUGAAGCUUUACUGUAACUUGAAAUUGAAAUUGGACUUUAUUCGCGCAGUAUAGGUGGGAGGCGUUGAUUAUAAUCUUGUGGGAUUAUUGGAGCCAUCAGUGAGAUACCACUCUUGUAAUGUUAGAUUUCUAACUUUGAAUCAUUAUCUGGUCAAAGAACAGUUUCAGGCGGGCAGUUUGACUGGGGCGGUCGCCUCCUAAACGGUAACGGAGGCGUACAAAGGUUUCCUCUGAACGGUUAGAAAUCGUAUCUAGAGUGUAAAGGCAUAAGGAAGCUUGACUGUGAGACCUACAAGUCGAGCAGGGACGAAAGUCGGUCUUAGUGAUCUGACGGUACUGAGUGGAAAGGCCGUCACUCAACGGAUAAAAGUUACUCUAGGAUAACAGGCUGAUCUCCCCCAAGAGUUCACAUCGACGGGGAGGUUUGGCACCUCGAUGUCGGCUCAUCGCAUCCUGGGGCGGUAGUACGUCCCAAGGGUUGGGCUGUUCGCCCAUGAAAGCGGUACGCGAGCUGGGUUCAGAACGUCGUGAGACAGUUCGGUCCAUAUCCGGUGUAGGCGUUAGAAUAUUGAGAGGAGCCUUCUUUAGUACGAGAGGACCGAGAAGGACAUACCUCUGGUGUACCAGUUAUCGUGCCAACGGUAAACGCUGGGUAGCUAUGUAUGGAGUGGAUAACCGCUGAAAGCAUCUAAGUGGGAAGCCCACCUCAAGAUAAGUAUUCUC
rnacentral:rRNA from 1 species